rnacentral:tRNA from 1 species
GGGGCUAUAGCUCAGUGGUAGAGUGCCUACCAUGCACAUGUGAGGCACUGAGUUUGAUCCUCAGUACCACCA